rnacentral:ncRNA from 2 species
GAUCAAGAAGACCGACGAUUCUAAGCCUCCCGGCUUGUCGGCUGGCAACCGCGCUCGUUCUGCGCACGGUGCCCCCGGGAGAAGAUCGGCCAGCGAGGCUACCGCCCGCUGGAAGAGCGAACA